UCCCUGGUGGCUCAGAAGGUAAAGGGUCUGCCUGCAAUGCAGGAGACCUGGGAUCGAUUCCUGGGUUGGGAA
rfam:Ovis aries breed Texel chromosome 8, whole genome shotgun sequence.